GAUGAACGCUAGCGGCAGGCUUAACACAUGCAAGUCGUGGGGCAGCGCGGACUUCGGUCUGGCGGCGACCGGCAAACGGGUGCGGAACACGUACGCAACCUCCCUCAGAGCGGGGAAUAGCCUCUCGAAAGAGAGAUUAAUACCCCAUAGUAUCUUGAAAGACACAUGUCUAUGAGAUUAAAGCUUCGGCACUUUGAGAUGGGCGUGCGGCUGAUUAGGUAGUUGGUAGGGUAACGGCCUACCAAGCCGACGAUCAGUAGCUGAUGUGAGAGCAUGAUCAGCCACACGGGCACUGAGACACGGGCCCGACUCCUACGGGAGGCAGCAGUGAGGAAUAUUGGUCAAUGGAGGAAACUCUGAACCAGCCAUGCCGCGUGGAGGAUGAAGGUCCUCUGGAUUGUAAACUCCUUUUAUAAAAGAAGAAACCCCAUUUUUCUAAAUGGGUUGACGGUACUUUAUGAAUAAGCACCGGCUAACUCCGUG
rnacentral:rRNA from 1 species